rnacentral:misc_RNA from 1 species
UGAAGAAGAAGAAGAGAAGGAAUUGGUGAGAAGGAGUGGAAGAUGAAAGAAUGAAGAUUGCUUGUACAAAACCAGGCAUGAAACUGAAACUCCAACUAAAAACAGAAAUACGAUUCUGUGAAUUAGAUGGUUGCCUGCGAUUGAUGAACUUGGCGGCUUAUUAUUAUUAUUGUUAUCGUCACCAGAGCAGACGACGACGUUGAUGCUGCCCAUGUCUCCUCCUCCUCCUCCUGCGCUGCUGAUAUCUCCUCUGUCUCUUUGUUUCUCCAAAACCCUUCUCUUUAUAAAA